GAGUGAUCGAAAGAUGAAAAGCACUUUGAAAAGAGAGUUAAACAGCACGUGAAAUUGUUGAAAGGGAAGCGUUUGCGACCAGACUCGCCCGCGGGGUUCAGCCGGCAUUCGUGCCGGUGUACUUCCCCGUGGGCGGGCCAGCGUCGGUUUGGGCGGCCGGUCAAAGGCCCUCGGAAUGUAUCACCCCCGGGGUGUCUUAUAGCCGAGGGUGCAAUGCGGCCUGCCCGGACCGAGGAACGCGYUCGGY
rnacentral:rRNA from 1 species